AGCGAACGCUGGCGGCAGGCCUAACACAUGCAAGUCGAGCGCCCCGCAAGGGGAGCGGCAGACGGGAGAGUAACACGUGGGAACGUACCCUUUGGUUCGGAACAACCCAGGGAAACUUGGGCUAAUACCGGAUAAGCCCUUACGGGGAAAGAUUUAUCGCCGAAGGAUCGGCCCGCGUCUGAUUAGCUAGUUGGUGGGGUAACGGCUCACCAAGGCGACGAUCAGUAGCUGGUCUGAGAGGAUAAUCAGCCUCACUGGGACUGAGACACGGCCCAGACUCCUACGGGAGGCAGCAGUGGGGAAUAUUGGACAAUGGGCGCAAGCCUGAUCCAGCCAUGCCGCGUGGGUGAUGAAGGCCCUAGGGUUGUAAAGCCCUUUCGGCGGGGAAGAUAAUGACGGUACCCGCAGAAGAAGCCCCGGCUAACUUCGUGCCAGCAGCCGCAGUAAGAC
rnacentral:rRNA from 1 species